UACGGGGGGAGCAAGCGUUGUUCGGAUUUACUGGGCGUAAAGGGCGCGUAGGCGGCGUAACAAGUCACUUGUGAAAUCUCCGGGCUUAACUCGGAGCGGUCAAGUGAUACUGUUGUGCUAGAGUGCGGAAGGGGCUACUGGAAUUCUCGGUGUAGCGGUGAAAUGCGUAGAUAUCGAGAGGAACACCUGCGGCGAAGGCGGGUAGCUGGGCCGACACUGACGCUGAGGUGCGAGAGCGUGGGGAGCGAACCGG
rnacentral:rRNA from 1 species